rnacentral:rRNA from 1 species
CACGUAGGGCGCAAGCGUUGUCCGGAAUUAUUGGGCGUAAAGAGCUCGUAGGCGGUCUGUUACGUCUGCUGUGAAAAUCCGGGGCUUAACCCUGGGCUUGCAGUGGAUACGGGUAGACUAGAGGCAGGUAGGGGAGAAUGGAAUUCCCGGUGUAGCGGUGAAAUGCGCGGAUAUCGGGAGGAACACCGGUGGCGAAGGCGGCGACCUGGGUCGAGACUGACGCUGAGGCGCGAAAGCGUGGGGAGCAAACAGG